ACCCUGUUCCCAGAGUGUUGCAUGAUCCCCAGGUGGUGAGUGAUCUCUGCCUUCUUCCAAACAGUCAGAAUCUCUGAAGGGCCAGGUUCCAUUCUUGCGAGACUUCCUGAAGAAUGAAGCGCGAGGGACAGUGCAAGCAGUAAAGAGCCUACGGAACAUCAUCUGUCACGGGAAGGGAGAGGACACCAAGGUGGUCUUUUGCAGCAUUUCCAAGCAACUGCAUCCACUCAUCAAUGAUGUGAGCACAAGCAAAAUACAGCUGGUGGGGGACUUACUGUCCCAGAGCUUUGGCUUCCUGAAGAGCCCUCAGUCCUUCCUACGGGCAGCUGCCAUCGACUUCACAGAAUUAACAGCUAAGAAGCUAAACAGGAGUCAAAUACAUGAGGAUGAUGUGGAGCUGUUACAGAAUGUUUGCUUCCUUUGAUCGAGAGAUAAGAUGGAGAGAAUGUUGGCUUUUAUAGCCCUGCCCCUGGGUGC
rnacentral:lncRNA from 1 species